rnacentral:rRNA from 1 species
CAGUCGAGCGGUAGAGAGAAGCUUGCUUCUCUUGAGAGCGGCGGACGGGUGAGUAAUGCCUAGGAAUCUGCCUGGUAGUGGGGGAUAACGUUCGGAAACGGACGCUAAUACCGCAUACGUCCUACGGGAGAAAGCAGGGGACCUUCGGGCCUUGCGCUAUCAGAUGAGCCUAGGUCGGAUUAGCUAGUUGGUGGGGUAAUGGCUCACCAAGGCGACGAUCCGUAACUGGUCUGAGAGGAUGAUCAGUCACACUGGAACUGAGACACGGUCCAGACUCCUACGGGAGGCAGCAGUGGGGAAUAUUGGACAAUGGGCGAAAGCCUGAUCCAGCCAUGCCGCGUGUGUGAAGAAGGUCUUCGGAUUGUAAAGCACUUUAAGUUGGGAGGAAGGGUUGUAGAUUAAUACUCUGCAAUUUUGACGUUACCGACAGAAUAAGCACCGGCUAACUCUGUGCCAGCAGCCGCGGUAAUACAGAGGGUGCAAGCGUUAAUCGGAAUUACUGGGCGUAAAGCGCGCGUAGGUGGUUUGUUAAGUUGGAUGUGAAAUCCCCGGGCUCAACCUGGGAACUGCAUUCAAAACUGACUGACUAGAGUAUGGUAGAGGGUGGUGGAAUUUCCUGUGUAGCGGUGAAAUGCGUAGAUAUAGGAAGGAACACCAGUGGCGAAGGCGACCACCUGGACUAAUACUGACACUGA